rnacentral:rRNA from 1 species
UACGGAGGAUCCGAGCGUUAUCCGGAUUUAUUGGGUUUAAAGGGUGCGUAGGCGGUUUGAUAAGUUAGAGGUGAAAUGUCGGGGCUCAACCCCGAAACUGCCUCUAAUACUGUUGGACUAGAGAAUAGUUGCGGUAGGCGGAAUGUAUGGUGUAGCGGUGAAAUGCUUAGAGAUCAUACAGAACACCGAUUGCGAAGGCAGCUUACCAAACUAUAUCUGACGUGAGGCACGAAAGCGUGGGUAGCAAACAGG